rnacentral:lncRNA from 1 species
CGACAAUGUUCCCUUUAUCGAAAUAAGGCUUAGAGUACAGGAGAAAGUCAGCGUGGUCUGUGUCAAGCAGCAUUGUAAUGGUAUGAGUGUAUGUGUGCCUCAGGCCUCACAAGCAGUGAGAGGCUUCUCUCUCUGAUCUCUGCCACAUGGAGACACAGCUCCAGAAGAUGGCUAUGUAAACACCUCAGCAGACACGAGUCCUGUCUGCAUCUUGAUAUCAGGCUUCCCAGCCUCCAGAACCAUGAAAAACAGCAGCUGUAGCUUAAAAAGAAUAACAUUUGGCACCUGGACGUGGAAAGGCUCUCUCCUUGUACUUUCUCCGGAGGCCCACUGGCAGGCAUGAGGUAAGGCAAGGGACCCUAACACACGGAUGGACAACCCACACUCAAUCUCACCGGUUUGCUGGGACUCUACAUCCAACACCGGACCCUAUUUGGAUUCUUGUAAGUUCCAGGGAGCCGAAUCAGAUCCAAACAGGUCAGAUUCACUCCAGGUCUAAGAGGCGCCAGGGAGUUGCAUACAGCCUGGACUACAAUGAAACAACCAGCUUCCCCAGGACGUGGCAGCACCCCAACCUUCUCGGGUCCCCCAAAGAUGGUCAACGCCCCCCAUGUCAGCAGGAAGCAGUCUUAAGAAGUCGACGCCCUUAUUCCUUAACCUGCCAUGUCUAAAC